rnacentral:rRNA from 1 species
GUGGGGAAUAUUGCACAAUGGGGGAAACCCUGAUGCAGCAACGCCGCGUGAAGGAAGAAGUAUUUCGGUAUGUAAACUUCUAUCAGCAGGGAAGAAAAUGACGGUACCUGACUAAGAAGCCCCGGCUAACUACGUGCCAGCAGCCGCGGUAAUACGUAGGGGGCAAGCGUUAUCCGGAUUUACUGGGUGUAAAGGGAGCGUAGGUGGUAUGGCAAGUCAGAUGUGAAAGCCCGGGGCUCAACCCCGGGACUGCAUUUGAAACUGCCAGACUAGAGUGCAGGAGAGGUAAGUGGAAUUCCUAGUGUAGCGGUGAAAUGCGUAGAUAUUAGGAGGAACACCAGUGGCGAAGGCGGCUUACUGGACUGUAACUGACACUGAGGCUCGAAAGCGUGGGGAGCAAACAGGAUUAGAUACCCGUGUAGUCC